rnacentral:rRNA from 1 species
CCCUUAGACGUUCUGGGCCGCACGCGCGCUACACUGACUACUUCAACGAGUUGCUUCCUUGAUCGAAAGGUCUGGGUAAUCUUUGAAAGGUAGUCGUGAUGGGGAUAGAUCCUUGCAAUUUUUGAUCUUCAACGAGGAAUUCCUAGUAAACGCAAGUCAUCAGCUUGCAUUGAUUACGUCCCUGCCCUUUGUACACACCGCCCGUCGCACCUACCGAUUGAAUGGUCCGGUGAAAUCUCGGGACGGCGGCUUGGUCGCUUGCGUCCGACUGCUGAAACUUGAUUAAACCAUAUCAUUUAGAGGAAGGUGAAGUCGUAACA